rnacentral:lncRNA from 1 species
AAUCUCUCAAAAAAGAAAUCUGCACUAUUUUUGUGUGGCUUCUUGUUGCUUUGUGUUUUAUACUGUGUGGUCAUUUAUUUUGCUGUUCUGAUAUCAUGAUUCUCUACAUAGAAACUAGUAUUGUGACCAAGAAUUUAUUGAAAGCUUAAAAUGAUAACCUGCUUUAUUCAGCAAUAACUACCCUGAUCGUCAAAAUGAAAACAAUUCCAAAGUUCAAAAAUAACUAAUGUGUUUGGUAUCCAUAUUCACUUGUAUAUUAUGUUGACACUAAAAUUAAGAUUAUGGAAGCUGUUGAGAUGGCUCAGCAUUUAUAGGCACUGGUGACUUGAAAUGAUCCCUGGAAGCCAUUGAAGGAGAGACAGAUACUGGAAACAUCAUUUCUGAGCCAAUGAUGACAGUUGAAAGAAAGGACAUCAUCACAGAAAAGGGUGGAAAAAUGUUGAAUUAGAAGUUAUUGAUGAAUUAAAAGUUAUUCAAAACAUGAAGUUUCUCUGAGGAUAUACUUUCCCAUAUUGCUUUAACACUUCAAAAGAUGUUGAUGGAGAGACUCUAAGAACAUUGGUUUUGAGCAGGCUAAACAUUGGUCUUCAGUCAAAGCUCCAUGGUUUGGGGAAAAUCGGAAGAACCAGCCUCAUGAUGGGUCUAUCGCUACUGCUGCAGUAUUUGGAGAAGAGGGGUUGAAUCUUAAUCUUGAAUAUGGUCAAGUUCAUGACAGGAAAAGUUGGAGAGGUCACAUUUACUAAAGUGACAUGCUUUUGAAAUGAAAAGGUGACAAAGCUCAAACUGAAAAAUCUAUUCUAUUGUAGGAGCCAGAGGUGUUGAGAAUACCAGAACACAGCUCACAGAGUCAACUAAUCAGAGCUCAUAGGGCCUCCCAGAAACUGAAGUGACAAUCAUGAAGCCUGCAUAGGUCUGAGAUAGGUUCUCUACACAUAUGUUAUGCACAUAUAGUUAUGAGUUUGGUGUUUUGUGGCACAUAAAAAGUGUGAGUGAGGGAUGUCUCUGACAUUCCCCCUGCUCUUGGGACUGCUUGCCUCCUAUUGAAUUGCCUCACCAAAAGCUUGAUAUGAGGGUAUGUGCAUAGUCUUAUUGUAUCUUGCUAUACUAUGUUCUGCUGAUGUCCCUGGGAGGCCUGCUCUUUUGCGAAGGGAAACUGAAGAGAAGUGGAUCUGGGGAGUAGAGAGGGGGGACUGAGAGGACUGGAGGGCAAGGAAACUGUGGUUGGGAUGUAUUAAAAACAAAAAAUAAGAAAAUAAAAAUUAAAAAA